rnacentral:rRNA from 1 species
GACGAACGCUGGCGGCGUGCCUAAUACAUGCAAGUCGAACGCUGCUUAAGAAGAAACUUCGGUUUUUUCUUAAGCGGAGAGGCGGACGGGUGAGUAACACGUGGGGAACCUAUCUAUCAGCGGGGGAUAACACUUGGAAACAGGUGCUAAUACCGCAUAUGGCUUUUUUUCACCUGAAAGAAAGCUCAAAGGCGCUUUACAGCGUCACUGAUGGCUGGUCUCGCGGUGCAUUAGCCAGUUGGUGAGGUAACGGCUCACCAAAGCAACGAUGCAUAGCCGACCUGAGAGGGUGAUCGGCCACACUGGGACUGAGACACGGCCCAGACUCCUACGGGAGGCAGCAGUAGGGAAUCUUCGGCAAUGGACGCAAGUCUGACCGAGCAACGCCGCGUGAGUGAAGAAGGUUUUCGGAUCGUAAAGCUCUGUUGUCAGCAAAGAACAGGAGAAAGAGGAAAUGCUUUUUCUGUGACGGUAGCUGACCAGAAAGCCACGGCUAACUACGUGCCAGCAGCCGCGGUAAUACGUAGGUGGCAAGCGUUGUCCGGAUUUAUUGGGCGUAAAGCGAGCGCAGGCGGUGAUUUAAGUCUGAUGUGAAAGCCCCCAGCUCAACUGGGGAGGGUCAUUGGAAACUGGAUCACUUGAGUGCAGAAGAGGAGAGUGGAAUUCCAUGUGUAGCGGUGAAAUGCGUAGAUAUAUGGAGGAACACCAGUGGCGAAGGCGGCUCUCUGGUCUGUAACUGACGCUGAGACUCGAAAGCGUGGGUAGUAAACAGGAUUAGAUACCCUGGUAGUCCACGCCGUAAACGAUGAGUGCUAAGUGUUGGAGGGUUUCCGCCCUUCAGUGCUGCAGUUAACGCAUUAAGCACUCCGCCUGGGGAGUACGACCGCAAGGUUGAAACUCAAAGGAAUUGACGGGGGCCCGCACAAG